GCCGGGCGUGGUGGCGGGCGCCUGUAAUCCCAGCUACUUGGGAGGCUGAGGCAGGAGAAUUGCUUGAACCUGGGAGGCGGAGGUUGCAGUGAGCCGAGAUCGCACCACUGUACUCCAGCCUGGGUGACAGAGCAAGACUCUGUCUCAA
rnacentral:SRP_RNA from 1 species